rnacentral:rRNA from 1 species
GACGUAGGGCGCGAGCGUUGUCCGGAUUUAUUGGGCGUAAAGAGCUCGUAGGCGGCUUGUCGCGUCGAAUGUGAAAACUCGGGGCUCAACUCCGAGCUUGCAUUCGAUACGGGCAGGCUAGAGUUCGGUAGGGGAGGACUGGAAUUCCUGGUGUAGCGGUGAAAUGCGCAGAUAUCAGGAGGAACACCGGUGGCGAAGGCGGGUCUCUGGGCCGAUACUGACGCUGAGGAGCGAAAGCGUGGGGAGCGAACAGG